rnacentral:lncRNA from 1 species
GCUGGCGGUGGAUCGCGAAGAACGAUGGCUAUGGGAGGAAGAAAGGAGAGGGAUUUAUAGAUGGGAGUUUCAGGUCCUCGUCGAAGUUUAAUUUGCCCCAAACUCCUUUUCUUGGUAGGACUCGGAAGAGGAGAUGGACUUCAUGGGGAGUCCUCCUCUUCCGCCUCAUGUGCUUAGCAUGCAAGGCCAAAAUAUAUAUAUAUUUUUUUGGAUUUAAGAUUUAAGCAGGAAAAAUCAAAGGGUACGGGUCUUUAUACAACCAGUGGAGAAUGUGCAUUGGUACAUCGAUACUGGUAGUUGG